AAGUACAGUUUAUUGUGCCCACGCUGACCUGCCCAGAUGGCACAAAGAGUUAGGAUGGCCUCAUUCUAGUCCAUUCCCAAAUUAGCUGCUCCUUGGCUGGCAUCUGAUACCCAGCUGGCUGUGAUCGUAUCUGCUGCGAAGAGGGUUAAUGAGACUGAAGUUCACUAGACGAAAGACAGAUGGCCACUCAGUGAGGUUGGUCAUAACUUUCCUUCUAAGGAGUAAGCCUCUUUUAAUUUCAUGGCUGCAAUCACCAUUUGCAGUGAUUUUGGAGCCCAGAAAAAUAAAGUCAGCCACUGUUUCCAUCGUUUCUUCAUCUAUUUGCCAUGAAGUGAUGGGAUCGGAUGCCAUGACCCAAGCAAAGACUUCCUAAAUGAAGUACACAAUGAGCCAAUGCAAUAACUUUAAGGGAAAUGAUGGUGACUGUUAAAGGCUGUUUUAAGAGGGGUCCCAUUGCUGCUGACUUUGGAUGAAUUCAAGAUUGCAUCGAGACUGGGCUACACGGAAGUUCUCAGGCAAAGUUGGACAUUCCAAAGAUGGCAUAGAUGAACAUGACCAGGAACAGCAGGAGGCCGAUGUUAAACAAUGCAGGAAGG